rnacentral:misc_RNA from 1 species
GUGAAUCAUCGAAUCUUUGAACGCAACUUGCGCUCCUUGGUAUUCCAUGGAGCAUGCCUGUUUGAGAGUCACGUAAACCCUCACCCUUACGAUGUUACAAUCGCAUUGUGGUGGAUUUGGAUUGUGCCGUAAUUGGCUCAUCCUGAAAUGCAUUAGCUUGUGCUUUUUACAGUGCUCGGCAUGGUGUGAUAAUUAUCUGCGCCGUCGCCUUAGGCCUGUUCUAUAUGUGCAGCUUCUAAUCGUCCCUUGUGGACAACUUACUUAACAGUUUGGCCUCAAAUCAGGUAGGACUACCCGCUG